rnacentral:rRNA from 1 species
UUUUUUAAUUGAAAACUUGUAUGAAGGGUUGAAUGAAAUAUAUUCUGUUUCAUAAAAAUUUAAUUAAAAUUUUAUUUUUUAGUUAAAAAGCUAAAAUUUAAUUGUUAGACGAGAAGACCCUAUAAAGUUUUAUAAUUUAAUUAUAUUUAUUUAUUUAAUUUUUUUUGAAUUUAUUUAAUUAAAUUAUUUUAUUGGGGAGAUAAUAAAAUUUAUAUAACUUUUAUUUUUUAAAUCAUAAAUUAAUGAAUAAAUGAUCCUUUUCUAAAGAUUAAAAAUUUAAAUUACUUUAGGGAUAACAGCGUAAUUUUUUUUUUAAGUUCAUAUUUAUAAGAAAGUUUGC